AAAGAUUAAGCCAUGCAUGUCUAAGUAUAAGCAAUUAUACCGUGAAACUGCGAAUGGCUCAUUAAAUCAGUUAUCGUUUAUUUGAUAAUACCUUACUACAUGGAUAACUGUGGUAAUUCUAGAGCUAAUACAUGCUGAAAAUCCCGACUUCGGAAGGGAUGUGUUUAUUAGAUAAAAAACCAAUGCCCUUCGGGGCUCUUUGGUGAUUCAUGAUAACUUUACGGAUCGCAUAGCCUUGCGCUGGCGACGGUUCAUUCAAAUUUCUGCCCUAUCAACUUUCGAUGGUAAGGUAUUGGCUUACCAUGGUUU
rnacentral:rRNA from 1 species